CCAGACAGCCAGGAGGUUGGCUUAGAAGCAGCCAUCCUUGAAAGAGUGCGUAAUAGCUCACUGGUCGAGUGAUUCUGCGCCGAUAAUGUAGCGGGGCUCAAGUACACCGCCGAAGUCGUGUCGCCACACUUGUUGUGGUGGGUAGGGGAGCGUCGUGUGCUGGGUGAAGCGGCCCUGGAAGGGUGUCGUGGACGGUUCACGAGUGAGAAUGCAGGCAUGAGUAGCGUGAUGCACGUGGGAAACGUGUGCGCCGAUUGACUAAGGGUUCCUGGGUCAAGCUGAUCUGCCCAGGGUAAGUCGGGGCCUAAGGCGAGGCCGACAGGCGUAGUCGAUGGAUAACCGGUUGAUAUUCCGGUACCCGCCGUGAAGCGCCAGCGCUGAAUCUCCUGAUGCUAAGCCCGUGAAGCCGCCCCCUGUAGCCUUCGGGUGAGGGGGGAGUGGUGGAGCCGGUGGCCCGAGGGGGUAGUAGGUGAGUGAUGGGGUGACGCAGGAAGGUAGUCCAGCCCGGGUGGUGGUUAUUCCCGGGGUAAGGGUGUGGCCCGAGUGGCAGGUAAAUCCGCCGCUCAACAGGGUGAGGCCUGAUGCCGAGCCGAUUGUGGUGAAGUGGAUGAUCCUAUGCUGUCGAGAAAAGCCUCUAGCGAUGUUUCAUGGUGGCCCGUACCCUAAACCGACUCUGGUGGUCAGGUAGAGUAUAC
rnacentral:rRNA from 1 species